CUUUCUCAUGUGUUUUCAACAUCUAAUAAGUCAGUAUUUCAACUCUUUAGGCCUGAUCAAGCUGGACAGUCAGGUGCAGAUCCAGUGAUCCACUUGGAAGAGAGGAUGUUCCUUUAUUUGGCAUCUUUCCAAUGUUAUAUCACUUGUUCCAUUGAGGCUGGAGCUACCUGAGCGACCACACUUACCUGAUCCUCUGGGAGAUAUUUUGCUUCCAGAGGUGGCAGCUCUUGACUGAGCUUAUCUGUAGCAGAAGCUAAACAGGACUUAUUUUGAGCUUCAUAUGCAAAUAUAACUUCAUGCUGUCAUGCCUGGAAGCCAUAUUACCUGUGUGCCUUGAGGAUCCAGGCCUGCCACAAUCAUACCGUGGGAAGUUGGGAGGGGGGAUUGCAUGAGUGAAGUAGAGAUAGCCAUAACAAACUUCUCUAAGAGAAGUUCAAGGCCAUGGUGUCUGGCAGCUGUGCAAAGAAGAAAUUUGAGGAUGUCUUCUGUUCGGGAAAGAACUGAUUGGAGCUGUGGUGGACAUGUGGAAGAUGUGAGCAAGGUCUUCAACUUUCUUUUGGGCGAGGAAAAUCCAGAAGCUUUCAGAUUCAGGUUUUCCCAGAUGUGCCAAUAUGACAUCCCUAAUAAAAGUUAGCUUUGAGGAA